ACUGCAUACCUCGCAAUCCUGAGAGGUUGCAACCCCCGGGGAUGUGGUAAUGCGAAUGCUGCGCCACAUCCCGGAUGACAAAUUCGCACUUGCAGCCUUUAAGAUCACUGCUGUGAUAUGAGGUGCAUCGGCUGUUCAAACAAUAACCGCCAGUGACUGUGAGGCAGUCAUGAAAAACUGGCUGAAGUACAGUGGUGACAGGAAUGGAGGGAGGAAGAGGAGAGCUGGGAGACAGCAGGGAGGUGAUGAUCCAGUGUCCAGGGAUAGCAGCAGCAUGGAUGAGGACGACUUUUAAGUUAUUUAUUUGUUUGUUUGUAUUGUUUAUAAUAAAUUAUAUUGUUAUCUGUAGGUUAUAACUGCUGUCUGUUUUAAUUCCUUAUGACAUUUAAGCUAUGAAUGGACUUCUGUAAGAUCCUAGAAGCUCAAAUAUCAUGCUUAAAGGACAAUUCCGGCACAAAAUGAACCUAGGGGUUAAUAACACAUGUGUACCAAGUUCGACCGUUCGCUGGGAUUUAUUUUCAUGCUAGUCGAAUGUGACCCG